GGCAUCCUUCUUGUUGCCUAUGCUGCCCCCUUCUUCUUCGGCUUCACUUGUUUGCUGCUUCCUCUCUGAUCGUCUUGUUAUUAAUCCAGUAGUUCUGCCUCACUGACCCACCCGAAGAUGAUUUCUGUUCUUUUCCCAACACAUCUCCAAAACUCUCUGCUGGAUGGUCCUCCUCUAUCGCUCCAGUAAUUGGCUAUAAGCCAUAAUGACGUUUACCUGCUGCCACCUGAAGGGGGCGUACUGGAGCUGUUUUCAGUUCUUAGUGCUCGAGCUUGAAUAACAUCAGCUGAUCCGACCCCACGCUGCAGUACCAGAGU